UCACUUCACUUCUGAGUACCUAGACUAAAAGCAGAACAAUACCGAGAUUAGUGUGGCCCCUGCACAAGGGUGACAGGCAGAUCUGUGAAGUGCUCCAUAUUCAG